rnacentral:rRNA from 1 species
AGUUUGAUCCUGGCUCAGAAUGAACGCUGGCGGCAGGCCUAACACAUGCAAGUCGAGCGGGGACUUCGGUCCUAGCGGCGGACGGGUGAGUAACGCGUGGGAACAUACCCUUUGGUACGGAAUAGCCUCGGGAAACUGAGAGUAAUACCGUAUGUGGUCGUAAGACGAAAGAUUUAUCGCCAAAGGAUUGGCCCGCGUUGGAUUAGGUAGUUGGUGGGGUAAUGGCCUACCAAGCCGACGAUCCAUAGCUGGUUUGAGAGGAUGAUCAGCCACACUGGGACUGAGACACGGCCCAGACUCCUACGGGAGGCAGCAGUGGGGAAUCUUAGACAAUGGGCGCAAGCCUGAUCUAGCCAUGCCGCGUGAUCGAUGAAGGCCUUAGGGUUGUAAAGAUCUUUCAGUGGGGAAGAUAAUGACGGUACCCACAGAAGAAGCCCCGGCUAACUCCGUGCCAGCAGCCGCGGUAAUACGGAGGGGGCUAGCGUUAUUCGGAAUUACUGGGCGUAAAGCGCACGUAGGCGGAUUAACAAGUCAGGGGUGAAAUCCCAGGGCUCAACCUUGGAACUGCCUUUGAAACUGUUAGUCUUGAGGUCGUGAGAGGUGAGUGGAAUUCCGAG